ensembl:lncRNA
UUAGGGACUGAGUCUCACUAUGUUGUCUAGGCUGGUCUCAAACACCUGGGCUCAAGAAAUCCUCCUGCCUUGGCCUCUGAAAGUGGUGGGAUUACAGGCUUAAGCCACUGUGCCUGGCCUCAUCUUUAUUUCUUUACAACAGGAAAGAGAACAUGUAUCUAUUCCCUCCCCUACCCGCCAUCCCAUGCCCUCACCCCGCCUUGUUUGAGCUGGAGUCUCCCUUCCAGUAGUCAGCUCCAGGGUCCUGAGUUCUCUUCCUGGCACGUUUUCUGGAUAUAGCAAGAGAACCCUUACCAUUACUAAACUCAGUAAUGGUAACGGUUUCCUUGCCAUUCCCAAGUGCCCUGGCAGUCAGUAGGCUGUGACAGGCUGAGCGGAGAGCUUCUUGGGCUUGCAGCAUCUCUCCUGUCCUCCUUGUCAGGCUCCAGAGCUGGGGGUGCCCGGACUAGUACAUCAUCUAUACUGUAGUGUCUCAUCACAAACUUACAGUAUAUGAUGAUAUCCCAGCCAGGGCCCCACUGAGGGUACAGGAAGCAUGGCUUGAAAAGUACUGUGGGGGGCUGGGGGCAGAACAGAACAGGUCAGGGCUGGACACACACAGCUCCCUGCUCCCUGCUCUACGGCUCCCUCCCUGGCCAGCAUCUCCUUGAUUCUGUGGUCAGGCACAGCCCAGGUGGGUUAUGGGAAGGGGAGUGGAGCUAGGGUCUGUUGAGAUCUCAUAGGGACCCAGGGCCAGUGUUAAAACAAGCCAGAGAUGGCAUAAUGAUGCAGAAGGUUCCCUUUGGUCAGACCAACAAGCAGACAAGCAGACAGACCCAGAGAAGGUGCACUUACCUAGAGCUGGAGCUGCAGACUGAGGAGGCCUUUGGAUGCAGGGAGGAUCUGUCCCUUCCUCUUCCUUGAGCUGCUUGCCUUUUAACAUACCGGUCCCUCCUCUGGGUGGGGCACUUCUCCUGGCCCUGCCUCUUAACCCUUGCCCUGCUAGAGUCCACGAAACAAGGGUCACUGGCCCCUCUCCCUAGAAGGCCUUUUUUCCUUUUCUUUUUUUUUUUUUUUGAGACGGAGUCUCGCUGUGUCUCCCAGGCUGGAGUGCAGUGGCGUGAUCUCUGCUCACUGCAAGCUCCGCCUCCCGGGUUCACGCCAUUCUCCUGCCUCAGCCUCCCGAGUAGCUGAGACUACAGGCGCCCGCCACCACGCCCGGCUAGUUUUUUGUAUUUUUAGUAGAGAUGGGGUUUCACCGUGUUAGCCAGGAGUCUCGAUCUCCUGACCUCGUGAUCCACCCACCUCGGCCUCCCAAAGUGCUAGGAUUACAGGCUUGAGCCACCGCGCCCGGCCAGAAGGCCUUUUUUCACCACUGUCUCAUGGACCACAUUAACCCUGAGGUUCACCCUUCACUCCCAUCUCCAAGAAGCUCGUCAUCUCUCCUAGGCUGGGAAUGAGAAAGAACAGCUUCAUCCCAUCCAUCAGCAUUUAAUUGCUGGUCAGAUCCCUGGUGGAAGGUUUUUCGUUUUUGCUUUUUUUGUUUUGCAGUGGUGGUGGGCAGUGUUAGUUGAAUCUCUAUAGGGCAGGAAGGGUCCUGGCAGCUGGAUCUCCAGCAUCUGUCUGGCAGCCGAGCUCACACUACCCGUUAGCCUAAAUUUCUAUUCCCAGCCCCUGUCCCUGUGUUUAUAAUGAGCCCAAGGAGGCCAGACCUAGGCAGGCAGAGAGACUCUGCCUAGCACUGCCCUGGCAAGGUCCUCUUGAGGGUUGCUCUGCUAGGAGAUUUGAGAGCAGCUGAAUCCCCAGCUCUUGUGGGUCUGCUCUUCAAAGCUCAAAGCACAUCCAGUGAGAGCCUAACACUGUUUGGUUCUUUGCCUCUGGGGUAGGGGAGAGGCACCUCAAAGCAGGGCCUCCGCUGUUUAGAAUCCCCAUUCUGGGGGACACGCCCUUCCCUCUUCCCUAACCUAGAGAUCUGGUCUGUGUGCUGGAAGGCAGUUUAUACCCUUCCUCUGCAGGGGCAGACUAGAGCAGGAUGGAAGUGGGAGAAGAGACCCAACCUUUUCUGGGUCCUGUGGAGGUGUUC